rnacentral:rRNA from 1 species
AUGUUUGACGGAGUUGAGCGGAUGCUUCGGGGAGUCAAGCAUGUGCCAGGGCUAAGGAGAAAUCUAAUUUCGCUUGGUGUUUUUCAUGAUGAUGGUAUGGUAUUCCGUUGUGAUCGGAAUAAGAAGGCCAUGAGAAUCAUAGAAGAUGAGGUGACCGUGAUGAUUGGGGAGAGGACGGCUUCGCAUCUUUACAAGUUGCAAGGGAGCACAAUUGCAGGUGGAGUCACGGAGACUGGAGUUGCGGGAGUAGCAGCGGGGUCUCACGGCGGCGGCGGGUCUGGGGCAGACUCGUCGAGUAGCUCUUAG